CUUUGAGCAGCCCCAGCUGAUGGAGCUGUCCUGCCAAGCCCUGCCCAAAACACGUGAAGCCUUCACCUUCCGCCAUGAUUGUAAGUUUCCUGAGGCCUUCCCAGCCACGCGUCCUAUACAGCCUGUGGAAUGGAGGAAGAGACUUGCAUUAUCUCAGAAGACACUUUGGACUUGGACUUUUGGAUUAAUGGUGGCACGAGACCCAAGCCCACUCUUAUUGGUUGCUGGAGGAGCCGAGCCUGAAGUCUGCACUGACAUUUUCAACCCUCGUUUGACAGGAUAAUUAGAGAAGCCGCACCCCGGUGUCGGUGACAUUUGAGUCUCAACAGCUUCCAAUCCCAGUGUUGGAUUGAAUUUCAGUUUUCUUUCUUGCCACGCUGCCAAUUUGUACUGCUGUAAGCUGACCAGCUUACACACUGAAAAGCAAGCCACAGUUCAGCUGAUUUUAAAAGACCCAUUGAAAGCCCAGUGCUUGUAAAAGGAUGUGUACGGGUAGCUUCAGCUGGCCCCUCUAAGAGAUGGCCUGAGAUGAUAAAAUGCUUUGCAGCUUAGAUUUCCACCAAGUGUUUUAAAACAUUGGGGUUUGUUUCAGGCCUUGUGUAAUUCUUUGUUAUCUGCAACACAGGCGUUCUUUUUGCUCUUGUGAUCAGAUCAUGAAUCUCUUGCACAAUCAGCCCAGGAGCUCUGUACACAUGAAGACUAUUAACCCUAGCUUCGUCUCAUUAGAGGCAACCCAAGGCCUCAUUCGAUAGCCAUCUGAGAGAGACAAUGUGGGCCUCCAAAGCCACGGCUGUAGUUUCCUAUCAAUCAUUUGCACAGUCUAUCAGAGGGCCUGCCUCUCUUCCAAGCCUUUGAUAAACAGGAAUUCAAUCCCGACUAUCCUUUGGAAGCCAACGGAUAUUAUUAUCAUCAGUGGAAAAACAGGCAAUGACGGUGUCAGCUCUGGCCAGAAGCAGAAAAGAGCCAGGGUUAGUUCACUUCUCGUUCCCUACUGCACGUUGCACACCAAAUGACCUGAAAGGUCAAAUUUCGUGCUUUUCUUUUUGCAAGAACUGAAUUCAUACAUAUGAGCCCUUCCCUAUGGAAGCUUCAAACCAUGUCAGGCUACCCUGUUACAAACCCUGACUUGAAGAGAGAAGUGUGGGUUUGGGGGAUAGAAGGGAAAUUCUGGAUGAAAUAUGUGUCUGUUUCACACUGAAGCAGAAUGCGCAUUCAAUUCAUUCUGGUAUCUUUGUCAAAGGUCAGUGACUCUGCCAAAAUGGCCAUUUCCUUCUAGAACAACCCUGGGAAGCACCGUUAGUUCCACAUGUGAUCAGUUUUUCUCUUGGAUCUUUAAAUUCCAUACAUGAAGCUGGCCUAUGCUUUUCACUGUCACUAAAGACACUGCACUGCCACUUUCAGUCCUUGGUACCAAGGAUUAUCUGAUAAUAAAUAUUUUAAAAAUCUGAUAUGACUAUAAACU
rnacentral:lncRNA from 13 species